rnacentral:tRNA from 1 species
UCUCUGGUAGCUCAGUCAGUAAAGAAUCUGCCUGCAGUGCAGAAGACCCAGGUUCAAUCCCUGGCUCAGGAA